CUACGGGUGGCACCAGUGGGGAAUAUUGCGCAAUGGGGGCAACCCUGACGCAGCCAUGCCGCGUGAGUGAAGAAGGCCUUAGGGUUGUAAAGCUCUUUCACCCGUGACGAUGAUGACGGUAGCGGGAGAAGAAGCCCCGGCUAACUCCGUGCCAGGCAGCCGCGGUAAUACGGAGGGGGCUAGCGUUGUUCGGAAUUACUGGGCGUAAAGCGCACGUAGGCGGCUUGUUUAGUUAGGGGUGAAAGGCCUGGGCUUAACCUGGGAACUGCCCUUAAUACUGAUGAGCUUGAGACCGGGAGGGGGUGGUGGAACUCCCAGUGUAGAGGUGAAAUUCGUAGAUAUUGGGAAGAACACCGGUGGCGAAGGCGACCACCUGGCUCGGAUCUGACGCUGAGGUGCGAAAGCGUGGGGAGCAAACAGGAUUAGAUACCCUAGUAGUC
rnacentral:rRNA from 1 species